rnacentral:rRNA from 1 species
CGAACGGGUGAGUAAUACAUCGGAACGUGUCCAGUAGCGGGGGAUAACCUCUCGAAAGAGAGGCUAAUACCGCAUACGACCUACGGGUGAAAGAGGGGGAUCGCAAGACCUCUCACUAUUGGAGCGGCCGAUGUCGGAUUAGCUAGUUGGUGGGGUAAAAGCCUACCAAGGCUACGAUCCGUAGCUGGUCUGAGAGGACGACCAGCCACACUGGAACUGAGACACGGUCCAG